UGGAGACCAGCAUGAAGCGGAAUCCCAAAACUAUGGCUCAUGAAAGGUUUUCAUGGUGAUCAGCCUCUGACUCUUGAAACCUUCAAAGAAUUCGACCAGAGACGUUCAGUGAGUUGUCAAGGGACACCCAGUUUGUGACAGAGCAAGGAAGAAAACUGUUACCGUUCGCUUUCUCACAGGUGGUGCUGCCCUUGCAUGGUCCUUCCUUGGCCUCCCCGCCGAACCUUCCCAGUUCUCUACACUGUCCCCAGAGCAGCAGAAUGAACACAC